UCUCUCUCUCUCACUGAAAUGGGUACACUUAACGAUAUGAAUCUUGAAAAAUAAACGCAUAGGCAUGCACGUAGGCAUAUUGCGUCCAUUAAUUUUAGGCAUCUCUACUAGGGAUUUAUCUAUGCUUUUUUUAACUGUAUUAUUAUACAUUAAUCCUUGGAAAAUCUUGGAGUUGAUUUUUCUCAUUUGCUAUAUGCUCAUAAAUCAAUAUAUAGAGAGAGAGAGUUCGAUUAUAUAUAUCAAAAUUGUGGUACCAAUAUCGUAUCAUGAAGCGCACUUGUCAUCAAGUGAUUUUGAUGAAUUCUAUCAAAAAGAACUAAAAAGGGCACCUGACAUUUUUGCAUCAUUCAUUAUCUGUCAUGCGAUUGUGACAUUACGUUACUGUCCAACUCACAAUGUAACAUUGGCAUCCUCAAACAUAUGCUUAUUAUGCUUAUAUUUUAGGCAGUACCUUUUUCUUGUAAGCCAUAGCUCUCCACGAAUGGUAGGUUGUCCCGCAUUUCAUUAAUUAGAGCAGCAUUAUUUGUUUUGAUAGCAGUGAGGAAUAGAAAGUAGUUAAAGGAAUAUUAUGAGUCGAGUGUUAAAAUACUUCAUCUAUAAGCCUUUUCAUGCACGGCCGUAUUCAUUUUUUACAUCAAAUGCUGACAAGUACCUAAAAAAAAGGUUGAACCCCAACCUUAAGGGCCCCCACCGACCCUGUCCUGGACCAUCGUGGAGGAGGUAAAUAGCAGGAUAUGCCUCCCAGGAGUCAGGGUAGAGAGCAUAUGGAUAGGCCAAGGCUGUUAACCCAUAUGGUAACUCCCGCUUGCAACAAAACCAAUUCCACCUUGCGGGGAAUCGAACUCUACACACUGUCGCGCUGAACCCUAUCCGCCCUCCCCUUUGCCACUGGGAGAUAUGCCCUGGGGGCAAAUGCUGACAAGUACCUAAUUUUAUAAAUGAGUGGCUAGAGACUUAAACUCGGGAACUUGGAGCACGGGUUUUUCUGGCUCAAGUGUAUCUUGACUUUACCACGAAUCAUUUUCCUUGGAAUCCUAAUUUUAGGAUGACUGACCCUUUAAUCCAGUUCAUAGAAUAUCUUUUAUUGUAAUACAAAUAAUAUUGAGCUACCUCAUUCAUGAACUUUAAAUUCUGGGAAACGUAUGUUUCCAAUAUAUUUGGUAUUCGAAAGGGAAGAAGUAGUUUCCACACCCUUAAAAGGAUGAAUGUGGUCCAUUCUUAUAACUAGGAAGGAAAGGAUGUGAGACGGAAAUGGAGACUAAAGAUAUAUAUUUCCUUUUCACCAUCCUAAAGCAUUUAUUUUCUUUUCUUUAUCCCCUUUAAUAGCAAGGAAGCUAGAUUUCCUUAGAGAAAUCUAGGAAGUCUAUCCAAUUUUUCAUCCACCAUAAUGCUUGAGGACCAUAACUUGCUUAUUAAUCCUUGGCUAAUUCUUUAAAAUCAUAAAUAUUAUAACUGAUUUUGAACUUGGGCUUAAUUAGAUUUCCUUUUACACAUUUUCAUACCUAAUCAAAAGUUACAAUGACCCAAGCAAUC
rnacentral:lncRNA from 1 species